rnacentral:rRNA from 1 species
CCUACGGGGUGCAGCAGUCGAGAAUCAUUCACAAUGGGGGAAACCCUGAUGGUGCGACGCCGCGUGGGGGAAUGAAGGUCUUCGGAUUGUAAACCCCUGUCAUGUGGGAGCAAAUAAAAAAGAUAGUACCACAAGAGGAAGAGACGGCUAACUCUGUGCAAGCAGCCGCGGUACUACAGAGGUCUCAAGCGUUGUUCGGAAUCACUGGGCGUAAAGCGUGCGUAGGCUGUUUCGUAAGUCGUGUGUGAAAGGCGCGGGCUCAACCCGAGGACGGCACAAGAAACUGCGAGACUAGAGUAAUGGAGGGGGAACCGGAAUUCUCGGUGUAGCAGUGAAAUGCGUAGAUAUCGAGAGGAACACUCGUGGCGAAGGCGGGUUCCUGGACAUUAACUGACGCUGAGGCACGAAGGCCAGGGGAGCGAAAGGGAUUAGAUACCCCUGUAGUC